rnacentral:rRNA from 1 species
GACGAACGCUGGCGGCGUGCCUAAUACAUGCCAGUUGAGCGCUGAAGGUUGGUACUUGUACCAACUGGAUGAGCAGCGAACGGGUGAGUAACGCGUGGGGAAUCUGCCUUUGAGCGGGGGACAACAUUUGGAAACGAAUGCUAAUACCGCAUAAAAACUUUAAACACAAGUUUUAAGUUUGAAAGAUGCAAUUGCAUCACUCAAAGAUGAUCCCGCGUUGUAUUAGCUAGUUGGUGAGGUAAAGGCUCACCAAGGCGAUGAUACAUAGCCGACCUGAGAGGGUGAUCGGCCACAUUGGGACUGAGACACGGCCCAAACUCCUACGGGAGGCAGCAGUAGGGAAUCUUCGGCAAUGGACGAAAGUCUGACCGAGCAACGCCGCGGGAGGGAAGAAGGGUUUCGGAUCGUAAAACUCUGUUGGUAGAGAAGAACGUUGGUGAGAGUGGAAAGCUCAUCAAGUGACGGUAACUACCCAGAAAGGGACGGCUAACUACGUG